rnacentral:rRNA from 1 species
UACAGAGGGUGCAAGCGUUAAUCGGAAUUACUGGGCGUAAAGAGUGCGCAGGUUGUAAUUUAAGUGUUAUGUGAAAUGCCAGGGCUUAACCCUGGAAUUGCAUAAUAGACUGAGUUACUAGAGUCUUGUAGAGGAUAGCGGAAUUCCCGGUGUAGCGGUGAAAUGCGUAGAUAUCGGGAGGAACAUCAGUUGCGAAGGCGGCUAUCUGGACAUAGACUGACACUGAGGCACGAAAGCGUGGGUAGCAAACAGG